rnacentral:rRNA from 1 species
CUCAGGAUGAACGCUGGCGGCGUGCUUAACACAUGCAAGUCGAACGAUGAUCUCCAGCUUGCUGGGGGGAUUAGUGGCGAACGGGUGAGUAACACGUGAGUAACCUGCCCUUGACUCUGGGAUAAGCCUGGGAAACUGGGUCUAAUACCGGAUACGACCGUCCCGCGCAUGCGGUGGUGGUGGAAAGCUUUUGCGGUUUUGGAUGGACUCGCGGCCUAUCAGCUUGUUGGUGGGGUAAUGGCCUACCAAGGCGACGACGGGUAGCCGGCCUGAGAGGGUGACCGGCCACACUGGGACUGAGACACGGCCCAGACUCCUACGGGAGGCAGCAGUGGGGAAUAUUGCACAAUGGGCGAAAGCCUGAUGCAGCGACGCCGCGUGAGGGAUGACGGCCUUCGGGUUGUAAACCUCUUUCAGUAGGGAAGAAGCGAAAGUGACGGUACCUGCAGAAGAAGCGCCGGCUAACUACGUGCCAGCAGCCGCGGUAAUACGUAGGGCGCAAGCGUUAUCCGGAAUUAUUGGGCGUAAAGAGCUCGUAGGCGGUUUGUCGCGUCUGCUGUGAAAGACCGGGGCUCAACUCCGGUUCUGCAGUGGGUACGGGCAGACUAGAGUGAUGUAGGGGAGACUGGAAUUCCUGGUGUAGCGGUGAAAUGCGCAGAUAUCAGGAGGAACACCGAUGGCGAAGGCAGGUCUCUGGGCAUUAACUGACGCUGAGGAGCGAAAGCAUGGGGAGCGAACAGGAUUAGAUACCCUGGUAGUCCAUGCCGUAAACGUUGGGCACUAGGUGUGGGGGACAUUCCACGUUUUCCGCGCCGUAGCUAACGCAUUAAGUGCCCCGC